AUGUCGACCUCGGCGCGCGAGACGAUCGCUCUGGUCAGGGACUCCUCGUCGGUGCCGAGCCCGAUGAUCGAGCUCCGGAUCACCUGGAGAAGGCAGAGCCAUGAAGAACAUCAGAACAGAAGCAGCCUGGAAAAGGUUGAACUUUUGAGUAUUACCUCUGCGAAAUGCUUCUCGGGCGAUGUCAGGCACCAGACCGCGGUUUUCAGCAUCGCGGAGAGCUUGUCGUUGCGAUUGCCCUCGAGAACCUGUGAAUUUGCGGCGCAUAAAAAUAGGUACUGUAGUUCAUUUUUGUGUGUUCAGUUCUUUUUUAACUGUAGAAAAAUAAUGGCGCCGCAGAAAGUAGACCUCGUCGAUGGCCUUGCCGUGCUCCUGCUUGUAGUGCUGGAACGUCGCCUUGAGCUGCGGCUUGCUCCUGGAGCUGACGAUGCAGACCACGUCGCCGUGCAGCGGCUGCUUCUUGGCCGCCACCGCGCCGUGCAGCUCGGCCGCCUCCGCCCUCGCCAGCUCGCCGUCGACGUGCUCGCCGCCGUAGCGGUACGAGCUCACCAAGCGCACCAAGAACUGCACACGCAUACACGAACGCUCAGCUCAACUGACCGGCAACGGCAAGAGCAAGAAAUCAACCCACGGCGGCGACAAAAAGGGAGGAGAAUGCCAGGAUCCGCACGGCCUUGCCUGCUUGAGGGGGUCCUUGUAGAGCGGGCAGGCGGCGACGUCCUCCUCGAGCGACGAGUCGUAGGCGGAGCAGUAGGCCUUCCUGACGGCGACGAGGUGGUCCGGCGACGACGCGCAGGCGACCUCGAUGAGCACCCAGGCGUGCCGGUCCCCGCCCUUCUUCCUGAGGGCCUUGUACGCCAGCUUGGCGUCCCGCGCCGCCGGGUCCAUCGCCCACAGCGUCAUCGCGCCCUGAAGCACAUGGAGAUUUUGGUGUCUGGGGACGACGAAGCACAUGGAGGUCGCCAUGGAGGUGAAGGUGUGUAUUACCUUGAAGUGGCUGGAGAGCUCGUCCUGGAGCGUGCGGAGGAGGGGCUUGUCGUAGAGGCCCUCGUAGGCCACGGCGAUCUCCGCGCGCUGCGCCGCCGUCCGGUGGCCGAGGAUCUCGAUCAGCGCGUUCUCGUCCGUCCCCCACCCUGCCCAUUUCUCGAUUUCAGUACGGAUUCUUCUCGCGUCGGAGCGAAAAACAACAACAUCAAUAUCAAUGGACUCCUACUGGCAAUCACUUGCCACCAAGAACAAUCAUUGUCCCAAACUCCCAAUCUCCCUGCCCUCCAAUUUUUUCAAAUGACAACAACAAAACAGACUCGAGCCAUCUCGCAAAAGAAUCGACCAGGAGAGCUACAAAAACGAGGUAAACUCGAUUGA
rnacentral:rRNA from 1 species